rnacentral:rRNA from 1 species
AUUGAACGCUGGCGGCAUGCUUUACACAUGCAAGUCGAACGGUAACAGGCCUUCGGGCGCUGACGAGUGGCGAACGGGUGAGUAAUGCAUCGGAACGUGCCCAGUCGUGGGGGAUAACGCAGCGAAAGCUGUGCUAACACCGCAUACGAUCUGCGGAUGAAAGCGGGGGACCUUCGGGCCUCGCGCGAUUGGAGCGGCCGAUGUCAGAUUAGGUAGUUGGUGGGGUAAAGGCUCACCAAGCCAACGAUCUGUAGCUGGUCUGAGAGGACGACCAGCCACACUGGGACUGAGACACGGCCCAGACUCCUACGGGAGGCAGCAGUGGGGAAUUUUGGACAAUGGGCGCAAGCCUGAUCCAGCAAUGCCGCGUGCAGGAAGAAGGCCUUCGGGUUGUAAACUGCUUUUGUACGGAGCGAAAAGGCUCCCUCUAAUACAGGGGGCUCAUGACGGUACCGUAAGAAUAAGCACCGGCUAACUACGUGCCAGCAGCCGCAGUAAGAC